GACGAACGCUGGCGGCGUGCCUAACACAUGCAAGUCGAACGAGGUCCAUCCUUCGGGAGAAGACCUAGUGGCGAACGGGUGAGUAACACGUGAAGAACCUGCCCCGAAGACCGGGAUAACCCUCCGAAAGGAGAGCUAAUACCGGAUACCCCCACCGAACCGCAUGGUUUGGUGAGGAAAUGGAUUCCGCUUCGGGAGGGCUUCGCGGCCUAUCAGCUAGUUGGUGGGGUAACGGCCACAAGGCAUCGACGGGUAGCUGGUCUGAGAGGACGAUCAGCCACACUGGGACUGAGACACGGCCCAGACUCCUACGGGAGGCAGCAGUGGGGAAUCUUGCGCAAUGGGCGAAAGCCUGACGCAGCAACGCCGCGUGGGGGAUGAAGGCUCUCGGGUUGUAAACCCCUUUCAGCAGGGACGAAUCAAGACGGUACCUGCAGAAGAAGCCCCGGCUAACUACGUGCCAGCAGCCGCGGUAAUAUUACCGCGGCCUGCUGGUUGGCAAGCCAGCCAAUGAUCCGUUCUACACG
rnacentral:rRNA from 1 species